rnacentral:rRNA from 1 species
UACGUGAAACCGUUCAGGGGUAAACCUGAGAAACCCAAAAGAUCGAAUGGGGAGAUUCAUCGUCAGCGGCAUUGGUAUCCGUGCGGUACGCGAUGCUCGGGACUUCGGUCUUGGGUCACGCUACCGCUGCGCGAUAUUCCGGUGUUGUCGGCGUGCACUUCUCCCCUAGUAGAACGUCGCGACCCGUUGGGUGCUGGCCUACGGCUCGGAUGGUCGACUGUCGCGAGUCGUCGCAAGGCGUCUGCGCGGCAGACCUCCGAUCGCCCGGCCGGCUGCCCGGCGGUAGAAGACUGAUUUUCAUGGUAUCGAGUCGCAGUAAAUGCGUUCAGGCACGUCGGCAGGCGAGUUUUAGUUCGGUAUUCGGACCUAGUGCCGUAUACCGGGCUUGGCUUGCCUCUCGUCGACGUUGUCCUCGGACAGGCUCGUACAUUCGUACGGAUAUACCGGUCGGCGACGCUACUGCUUUGGGUACUUUCAGGACCCGUCUUGAAACACGGACCAAGGAGUCUAACAUGUGCGCGAGUCAUUGGGACUUUGUGAAGCCUAAAGGCGAAAUGAAAGUGAAGGUCGGCUUUAUUGUCGACCGAGGGAGGAUGGUUCGCGUCACGAUGCGAACCCGCACUCCCGGGGCGUCUCUAACUCAUUGCGAGUUGAGGCGCACCCAGAGCGUACACGUUGGGACCCGAAAGAUGGUGAACUAUGCCUGGUCAGGACGAAGUCAGGGGAAACCCUGAUGGAGGUCCGUAGCGAUUCUGACGUGCAAAUCGAUCGUC